rnacentral:lncRNA from 1 species
GUCAGUGGUUUGGAAAACGCUAGAUGCUGACAUCAGAUUUUCUAUAUACUGUCCAAGAACUUGGUUUUCUGAUUUCAGUUUCAAGUUUUCUUCCUUAACAGCAUCUACUCGUGCCGAGAGAUCGUCCAUGUCAGCGUUCAUCAUUGUAGAACGGGCUCUUUCUGCUUUAGAACUCAGCCGGCCUGAGCGACGGUCUGACGCUCCCCCGGGCUGCGCAGCGCCGGCCCGGCCGCAGCCCCGCCGCUCGCUCCCCUCUUCCUUUCCUCCCGCCGCGCCUGCGCCAGCGCCG